GUAAAAAUGAAAUGCUUUCGUUGUACAUUUCAACAACAGUGUGGUUCAUGACACUACACAAUGCAGACUCCAUGUGUUUCUUGUGAUGUGAACGAUUGCAACGAAUAAGGUAUCUGCCACGUUUCCUGUUUGUAACCGAAAACGUCGAAAGACGAUAAAAAUAGCAGCAACACUUGUGCACUUCUUGCUGAACAUGGUCACGUACAGGUGAAAGGUUUUAUCAGACAAGGAUUUAUUGGACAUUUGACACUAUUAAAUCAUGGGGACAGUAACAUCUCAGUGUGCAAGUCAACAUGUUGCUAUUGGUCUGACAUCGAUUGCACUGCUGAUAUCUGUGUGCUUAAAUGUUGCAUUCUAUUUAAUAAGAAGAAAGGGAAAAAAAUAUGCAGUUAAUGAAAACAUGUUGGAAUAUGAAGAUGAGCCAUUACAUCAAGAUUCACUUCGGUCUUACAGGUUUGAGGAUGAUGAGAUGGAAAGACAAGAAAAUCCGAUUUAUGGAAAUAUAUGUUUAGAGGGAGGAGGAGCUUUUGAAAUCUCUCAGGAGGUGUGCUAUGAACAAAUGUCACAUGCAAACACAGCAAAGCAGGGAUUAAAGGUCCAGCCAGGGGACGUGUCCUAUGCCUCUCUUGAUCUGACUGCCAAUAAAAAGCGUAGGAAGAAGAGAAAAUACCAAAAACAGGCUCAGACUCACCAGGCCCAGACACAUCCUCAACCUGCAUCCCAGCAGAUCUGCAUGGACCAGGAUGACGAGCCUGAUGUCACCCUCCCGUCCCGGAGCAGCAGCCUCCUGAUUUCACGUCACAGCAUCUACCUCAACAGUCAUCAAGUAGCCCUGGAGGCAGAAGAGAGGGAGAGGGAGAGGGAGAGAGAGAGGGAGAGAGAGAUGGAAAUUGAAAGAGAAAGAGAAAGAGAUGAUAAUGUAGAGAGAGAGUUUGAUAUGCACAGAAAUGUGCAUGAAGGCUUUGAUCACUCCCUCGGUAGAUCAAGACAAAGUCUAAAACUGGACAGUUAACAGUUAGAAAGUAAAAAAAAAACAACAACAAAAAAAACUUUAGCGUCUUACUUGUAAAAACACAGGAUACUGUAGGGUGGGGCUGUCAGCGACUGUGAUAUUUUAAGCUCAUCUCUACCCCAAAUCAUAAUUUCUGUGCAUUCAAAAGCAUGCAGAGGAGACCAGCUAUCUGAUCUUGUGUCCAAUCGAGACACAUAUAAAGGAGUUCACCACUUUAAAUCUGCUUUCUUGUUUCUUGCAUUUGAAGGUUGGUCUGUUUGUUGUACUUAUAAGAAGAAUAUAUUAACAAAUAUUUAUCUGCUUACUUUUAUGUUUUUUUUUUUUUAGAUUUUCAGGAUAACAGGCUAUAAAUGCAUAUUUGUGCAAAUAAGGUUGACUCAAGUCAUUUGAUGUAGAUACAGUAUGCACAGAAUAAUAAGGACAGUUUCAUAGCUAUUAUUCAGAGUUGUUGUAAUAUUUUUGUGGCUUUGUCUUGAUAUUAAAUGUCUUGGUGACUCUAUUUUUGUAUCUGUAAUUCUUUGUUUAAAAAGCUUUGAAGAAUGUCUGAAGAUGCAAAAAAUUACCACAAAAUUUAUCAAAUAUUUAUGCCAACUAUGAAAAAUUCUCAGUUUGCUUUGCUAGAACCUGUCAGAUGAAAGAAAAAAUAGUGAGACAUACUGCAAAAGCUUUAUUACACUCCUUAACCACUUUUGUUAAUAAAAAGAAAAGAAGAAAAAAGAAAGUAAAAAGUCUUCAUUCACGUACAGAGACGACAGACAGGAAAAAUGCAACACUACAGUAGCGAGGAGAGGACUUUUUGCACAUUUCCGCCGCAACUAAUCGUGACGUUUGCUCUCGUAGUCACGUGGUUGUUAACAUGGCGGCGCGCUGUUGAAAGUCAUGCGAUAGCUCUUGGAUAUCAUUUCUUAUUUUCGUCUUUUUCAAUUGUAAUUUAUUUGCAGUUAUAUAAACGUUUGUCUUGAUAUAUACUGCCAACAAAAUUGUCAUGGACCCCGCCGGACAGCUACGAAAUUUGCGGGACUUCCUCCUCGUUUACAAUCGCAUGACGGAAAUCUGCUUCCAGCGAUGCACAAGCAAUUUCAACUACAGAAAUCUGACGAUGGAUGAGGAGCGAUGUGCUGACAGUUGUGCUGGCAAAUUAAUAAGGACCAAUCACCGUUUAAUGGGCACGUAUGUGCAGCUGAUGCCCGCGAUGGUGCAGAAGCGAAUGCAGGAGAUGGAGAGCAAAGCUGCAGAAUUAGCAAAAGCUGAAGCUGCAGCACAAGGAGGUGCUUCAUCAUUAGAAAAUCCAUCUACUGCCAUCACAGCAACAACACCAAUGCUUGAGAGCCCACAGAUACCUCCAGUUUCUAAUAAUCUAUCAGAUAUGAAGACUAAUGUCUUAGCUUUUGGACACACACAAUCAUUGACAGAUGUGCCCACAGUACCAAACAAUUCACAAACCUUUACAAAUGAGUCUUUAGAAGGACUAGUAGCACCAUCACCAGAGAUCUCAGCAUCUUCUUGUGUACCUAAAGUAGAUGGAGGUCCCGUCUUGAGUGCAGUAGAACAACCCAAUGUGAAGCCCAGCAGUGUAACAACCACCGCAAUCCCUGAAACACGGUCUGAAUGGGGAGCAGGACAAAGCCCCCAAAAUCCAUCUUGAUCUGUGUCUUUUAAUAAAAGUGCAUCAUGGAAAGAUAAUUUAUUUGACUUCUUUAUUCAUUAUUAAAUCUGUAUGUGGUAUUUUUACAGUAGGAAAAUAUUUAUUUGAUCCCCUGCUGAUUUUGUACAAAGAAAUGAAGGGUCUGUAAUUGUAGGUUUAUUUUGACAGAUAGAGACAGAAUACCAACCAAAAAAUUCAAAAAACACAUUAUAUAAAAUGUACUGUAAAAUCUUGGACGAGAACCUCCUUCGCUCAGCCAGAACACUGAAGAUAGGUCAUGGAUGGGUCUUCCAGCAUGAGAAUGACCCGAAACAUACUGCCAAGGCAACAAAGGAGUGGCUCAAGAAGAAGCACAUUAAGGUCAUGGAGUGGCCUAGCAAGGGUUUCUGCACCAAGUCAUGUUUUUCUUGGGGAUCAAAUACUUUUUUCACUCAAUGAAAUGCAAAUCAAUUUCUAACCUUUAUAUAAUGUGUUUUUUUCUGGAUUUUUUGGUUGGUAUUCUGUCUCUAUACAUUAAAAUAAACUUACGAUAAAAAUUACAGACCCUUCAUUUUUUUGUAAGUGGGCAAACUUACAAAAUCAGCAGCGGAUCAAACAAAUAUUUUACCCACUGUAUGAUGUGUUUUGUGUAAUUAAAGAGAUAUGAGUAAAAAUGUUAUUAGAAAUUUUUUAUUAGAUAAUUCUUAUUAUCCACACUGACAAUUUUUUGUGUUCUUUUUUGUUAUCUUAAAGCUAUGUCUGUUCAAGCAGUUUUUUUUUAUCACAUUACAUACUUAUAUGAAUAUUAUAUAUUUAUUUUACACAUA
ensembl:lncRNA